CGUAUGUCGCGAGCGUUAUCCGGAAUUAUUGGCAUAAGGGCAUCUAGGCGGCCGGAUAAGUCUGGGGUGAAACUUGCGGCUCAACUGCAAGCCUGCCCUGGAAACUAUGCGGCUAGAGUACUGGAGAGGUGGACGGAACUGCACGAGUAGAGGUGAAAUUCGUAGAUAUGUGCAGGAAUGCCGAUGAUGAAGAUAGUUCACUGGACGGUAACUGACGCUGAAGUGCGAAAGCUAGGGAGCAAACAGGAUU
rnacentral:rRNA from 1 species